UACGUAGGGACCAAGCGUUGUUCGGAUUUACUGGGCGUAAAGGGCGCGUAGGCGGCGUGGUAAGUCACUUGUGAAAUCUCUGAGCUUAACUCAGAACGGGCAAGUGAUACUGCUGUGCUAGAGUGCAGAAGGGGCAAUCGGAAUUCUUGGUGUAGCGGUGAAAUGCGUAGAUAUCAAGAGGAACACCUGAGGUGAAGACGGGUUGCUGGGCUGACACUGACGCUGAGGCGCGAAAGCCAGGGGAGCAAACGGG
rnacentral:rRNA from 1 species